UUUUGGAAGGUGGAUUCUCUGCCAAUUCAUUUUCAUACUCUUUUCAUGCUAUUUUGUGAUGUGUAAUCACUAUUAAACCACGUUAACAUUUUAUAUUAAUUUUUUAUAAAAAUAAUAAAACAGAAAAUAAUAAAAAUAUAAAAUAUUAACAUGAUUUAACCGUGAUUAUAUAAACAAAAAAGCAUUAAAAAAGUAUGAAAAUAGAAAAACAGACAAUCCACACCUCUCUCUCUCGUCAAGUUUUUCUUGCUUUUAUUAUUAAAAAAUUAUAAACUGUAAAGCUAUUCUUGAUUUUAUCAAUAUUUCAUUUAAUUUUGUACUCUUAAACCGUGGUUUGAUUUUAGCUUACCAUCAGCAAUUCUCAUUUUUAAGAGAUAAGAAAAAAAAAAAAAAAAAAACGGUGCUUUGAUCUUGGUUUUGUCAUCCCUCUAUAUUUUUAUUUACUUUCUCCGCGGUCCGUGCCGUCUUUUUCCUCUCCCCACUAAAACUCACUUUGAUCACUCUCACUCUCUACCAUUUCACUUAUUUUCUCAAAAAACCAUUUCAACUUCAACCACUUUAAUCACACCACCACCACCAACUGCUUAACCUCCUCCCUACAUGUCUUCCAGACCCUGAGACGAGGACAGAAGGCGCGGUUUGGAACUUAACCCGAGGGCUCAUGACCUCUGUUCGAACUCGGAGGUUUUCCGGCGAAAUUCCGCCAUACACGGCCAAGAUCCAACUCGGGAAGCAUUUCCCUAGUUUUUCAGGCGAAACCCGCGACCUUCUAGGCCGUUCUCGGCCAACUUUGGCCACGGCUGGGAACCAAAAUGGAAACUCAAAGUCUCCUCAGUUAGGAGUUUUUGUUUUUUUUGUUUGAAUGCUUUUUGUAUAUUUAUGCACAUAAAUUCAUAAGUUUGAGCUAUACUUUGGGAGUACAAGCUUGAUGGAACUCUGCUUGUGGGAAUGAUGAAUUAGUUGGGGAGCAAUGAACAUGGGAGGAACAAAGCUUUAUGAGGAAGAUACAGUUGUGCAGUAAUGAUUGUUUUGGAGUGUUUUCA